rnacentral:lncRNA from 1 species
CAGAGCUGGGCAAAGGCCAUAUGAAGAUGGUGAUCUUUAAGCCUUGACGGUUGAGAGGGUAUAUGAGACAGAUCCAUUCCACAUUUUAAAAACACAAUCACUGUAGCUUCUGUGCAGAGAAGAGCAAGGAGCCAGUACUGAUGAGGCUAGAGCAGUUAGGAGGUUGUACAGGAAAGCUUGGGUGCCCUGGCCCACACCUGUUCAGCAUCUCCUUUGAGUCCGGCUAUGGCAAUGGCAGAUGCUCCCACUUGGGCUUUACCUCACCUCACACUAACAGCCCCAACCUCAAGAAUGUCCUUGCCCAGGGCUUCUCCAAAGACACCAAGGCCGGUGGAAACUGUGGGUGCACGUACAAGUACGAUCUGGGAGUUCAGGGGAGUUCACGCUUCCAGGAGCAACCCUCAGCUCGUGGAGACCAGGAGCCAGUGGGUAAAUGCUCCUCCUGGGCAGCCCGCAGGACACCCUCCUCAAAAGUCCCAGAUGCGUCCUAGGUGCCCACAGUGGGGACCUGACUAAUACACUCUUACGCGACUGUCCUUCUCCUCCCACCCUGCCUGUCCCUCACUUCUGAUCCCUGGGAUUACCUGUUAAAUAAACGACCAGCAUGGAAGUCCUAGUAGGCUCUGUUUUCUGGGUGUAUCCCAAGGCGGAUGGAGGCAAUUGCAGUUGUCUGGGCAAAAAAUGAUAGGAGCUUAGACUACAGUGGUGGCCAUGGAAAUGGGCAGAUUUGAAAGAUAUUUAGAAGGUUAAAUGAAGAGUCUGAGGCCAUGUUCUCCAAAGCCGCUCUCUUUUAUACUCCCCUCGACACUCAGUGCAGCCAGUCCAGGCUCACAGCUUGUGCUAAGUCUGGGAUGGAGGAGGUGUGCCCAUGUUUGACAGCUGUGCAAAUGCCUACCAUAUAUGGAGGUAGAACUCAACAGCCAUUGCAAAACAGGUUACAGGAGGUAAAGAUGGUAUUUCCAGGCAGUCCUUAACUGAGUCAAAUUUAAAAUGAGGCCUUUGGCAGAUGUCCCAGGCAUGAGUGUCUCCUUCAGGCAAGAUCUCAUACCCAGGACGACGGAAGUAGCAGUAAUAACAGGAGGAGGAAGAGGAGGCGUGGUGACAGCUGUUCUGUACUGAGCUAUGCACAUGUCUGCUCACACCAACUCUGAGAGGGAGGUAUCCUAACCCCUACUUUUCAGCUGAAGAAACGGAGACUCAGAGACGUGCAGUAAUCUUCCCAGGGUCGCUGAGUAGGAAGUGACAGAGCAAGGACUCACGCCUUGGUCCAAAUGGCUCCAAAGGCCAUGCCUUUAACAACUCUCUCCUUUUAAAUGUCCCUGUGCUCCAAAGUGCGGAGCGAGCCAGGGAGAGCCCAGCCUUCUCUGUUUAUGCUGGAUUGUUGCGUUACCUGAUUGUCAAUUCGAUCCUGCUGGGAGGUAGGUGAGGCUCGAGGUGAGACUGGUGUGCUGCGGCGGUAAUCAUAGCGCAAUAUAGGAACGUAUCAAAGCAACACACUGUGCACAUUAAAUUUACACAAUGUUAUAUGUCAAUUAUAGCUCAAUAAAAUAAGUAAUUAAUUUUUUUAAAAAAGAUGACAUUUGGGGGCCGGCCUGGUGGCGCAGCAGUUAAGUUCGCACAUUCUGCUUUGGUGACCCAGGCUUUGCUGGUUCGGAUCCUGGACACGGACCUACGCACCACUUGUCAAGCCAUGCUGUGGCAGGAGUCCCACAUAUAAAGUGGAGGAAGAUGGGCACAGAUGUUAGCUCAGGGCCAGUCUUCCUCAGCAAAAAGAAGAGGAUUGGCAGCGGAUGUUAGUUCAGGACUGAUCUUCCUCAAAAAAAAAAAAAAAAAAGGAAAAAAGAUGACAUUUGGUGGAAGUGGGGAAUAGAGAUGCCAGUGAGUGUGGCCUUGGUGUGCUGGAUGGAUUAGAGACAGCACUGGAUGCCUCUCAUUUAUUUAUUUAACAAACAACUUACGUCGACUCAUUAAAUCCUUAUAACAACUCUAUGAUGUAGGUUCUGCUAUUAUCCCCCUUUUAUAGGUGAGGAAACUGAGGCAAAAUAAAAUGGCUUAAUAACUUGUCCAGGGAGAGAGAGUGAAGAAGUAGAAGAGCUGGGGUUUUAACCCAGGCGUUCCAAAAUCUGUGUUCUUAACUCACUGUCCCGUCAUGCUCCUCCUUCACCGAUUCACUCUGCGAACGCUCUGGGUGCUUGCUCCAUGUCAGGGUGUACUUAGACACUGUGGGAGCAGGCAAAGUACAAAAAUGAAUCAAGCGUGAAUUCAACUCUCAAGAAACUUAUUCUCCCGUAGACGGAUCAGAGAAAGCUUUGCGGAAAGGAUGGACCUUGAAAGAUGACUAGGGC